CUUGUAACAAGAGCUGGGUUGCAAGGUUGCAAGCCAGCCCCAACACCUCUGUCCAGCUCCGAAAAAUUAUCCUUAACAGAAGGAAAACUCUUGAAUCAAGAGGACAGCACCAGGUAUAGAAGUAUGGUUGGUGCACUGCAAUAUUUAACUCUGACUAGGCCUGAUAUUUCCUUUGCUGUGAACAAAGUAUGUUAGUUCCUUCAUGCACCCGCUACAGUACAUUUGACAGCUGCAAAAUGCAUACUUAGAUAUAUCAAGAACACUUUCAGUGUUGGACUCACCUUCACCAAGUCACCAUCAACACUUGUCAGUGCUUUUUCUGAU
rnacentral:rRNA from 1 species